rnacentral:rRNA from 1 species
CCGGGGUAGUAUACAGCUAUUGUCUCGAAACCCAAAGAGUUUGGCGGUAUCUCAGUCUAGUUAGAGGAGCUUGUUCGGUAAUCGAUAAUCCGCGAAAAAUCUUACACACUUUUGUAGCCAGUUUAUAUACCGUCGUUAUUAGAUAAUAUUAAAAAGUAAACAAUUAUCUAAAUAUAUUAAAAUAUAGUAUAUCAGAUCAAGGUGUAGCUUAUAAGUGUGCUUGAAUGAGCUACAAUUUAAUAAUAAAAACGGAUUUUAUUUUUAAACAAAUAAUUAAAGGUGGAUUUAAUAGUAAUUG